rnacentral:rRNA from 1 species
AUUGAACGCUGGCGGAAUGCUUUACACAUGCAAGUCGAACGGCAGCACGGACUUCGGUCUGGUGGCGAGUGGCGAACGGGUGAGUAAUGUAUCGGAACGUGCCAGUCGUGGGGGAUAACGUAGUGAAAAUUACGCUAAUACCGCAUACGAUCUAUGGAUGAAAGCGGGGGAUCGCAAGACCUCGCGCGAUUGGAGCGGCCGAUAGCAGAUUAGGUAGUUGGUGGGGUAAAGGCCCACCAAGCCAACGAUCUGUAGCUGGUCUGAGAGGACGACCAGCCACACUGGAACUGAGACACGGUCCAGACUCCUACGGGGGGCAGCAGUGGGGAAUUUUGGACAAUGGGCGAAAGCCUGAUCCAGCCAUUCCGCGUGCAGGAUGAAGGCCCUCGGGUUGUAAACUGCUUUUGUACAGAACGAAAAGGUUUCUACUAAUACUAGGAGCUCAUGACGGUACUGUAAGAAUAAGCACCGGCUAACUACGUGCCAGCCGCCGCCGUAA